GGAUGUGAGGGCGAUCUGACUCCGCCAUCUGUCACCCCAUUGGUCUCCAGAGUUAAUUCUGCUGCGCCUCCUCCCUCCCUCCCCACGCCAGGUGCAUCGCUCCUGGGGCUGCGCGCUCAGGCGAAGAGGACCGCCACCCCCGGAACAGAAGGACCUUUCUUCCGUCAAGGCUACGCGGACGGUUGCCGUCCCCUCCUAGAACCUCAAACACGCAGGGAAUGAUCGCCAGGGUGUAAAUUCAGAGCGGCUUGGUUUCCAAACUAAUGUUUUCUUCU
rnacentral:snRNA from 1 species